AUCAACUUUCGAUGGUAGGAUAGAGGCCUACCAUGGUGGUAACGGGUAACGGGGUGUUAGGGCACGACACCGGAGAGGGAGCCUGAGAAACGGCUACCACAUCCAAGGAUGGCAGCAGGCGCGCAAAUUACCCAAUCCCGACACGGGGAGGUAGUGACAAUAAAUAACAAUACGGGGUCCUUUCGGGUUUCGUAAUUGGAAUGAGUACAAUUUAAAUCUCUUAACGAGGAACAAUUGGAGGGCAAGUCUGGUGCCAGCAGCCGCGGUAAUUCCAGCUCCAAUAGCGUAUAUUAAAGUUGUUGCAGUUAAAAAGCUCGUAGUUGAAUUUCGGGAUCAAUUUAUCGGUCGUGCCAACGGUAUGAACUGGUACAAUUGGUUUCUCCCUUCUGAUGAAGCAUGAUGUCAUUAACUUGGUGUCGUAGGGAAUCAGGACUGUUACUUUGAAAAAAUUAGAGUGUUUAAAGCAGGCUUAGACUUGAAUACAUUAGCAUGGAAUAAUGAAAUAGGACGUUUGAUCCUAUUUCGUUGGUUUCUAGGAUCGACGUAAUGAUUAAUAGGGAUAGUUGGGGGCAUUAGUAUUCAAUUGUCAGAGGUGAAAUUCUUGGAUUUAUUGAAGACUAACUACUGCGAAAGCAUUUGCCAAGGAUGUUUUCAUUAAUCAAGGACGAAAGUUAGGGGAUCGAAGACGAUCAGAUACCGUUGUAGUCUUAACCAUAAACUAUGCCGACUAGGGAUCGGAUGAUGUUAAUUUUUUAAUGACUCAUUCGGCGCCUUACGGGAAACCAAAGUGUUUGGGUUC
rnacentral:rRNA from 1 species